rnacentral:rRNA from 1 species
UACAGAGGUCCCGAGCGUUGUUCGGAUUCACUGGGCGUAAAGGGUGCGCAGGUGGGUUGGCAAGUUUGAUGUGAAAGCCCCGGGCUUAACCCGGGAAAGGCAUUGAAUACUGCUGAUCUGGAGGAUCGGAGGGGGGGACUGGAAUUCUUGGUGUAGGCAGUGAAAUGCGUAGAUAUCAAAGAGGAACACCAGUGGCGAAGGCGAGUCCCUGGACGAAUACCUGACACUGGAGGCACGAAAGCUAGGGGAGCAAACAGGAAUUAGAAACCCC